GUCUACGGCCAUACCACCCUGAACGCGCCCGAUCUCGUCUGAUCUCGGAAGCUAAGCAGGGUCGGGCCUGGUUAGUACUUGGAUGGGAGAUACAUUGAUAUUUACUUAUUAGAAGUUUUAAAAC
ensembl:rRNA 5S_rRNA 5S ribosomal RNA